GCCUGGGUGGCUAAGUCAGUUAAGCAUCUGACUUCAGUUCAGUCAUGAUCUUGCUGUCUGUGAGUUCGAGCCCCACAUCAGGCU
rnacentral:tRNA from 1 species